UUUAAUGCCUGACCCACUGAGUAUGUUUUGAUUAUUGGUUUAAAUUUGCUGGUAUUUUCCUUCUUUCAUGUUCAGAGUCGUGAACAUGUUGUCUGCAAGCAUAUGUUGCGUUCCAUGGUUAGAUACCUUUUUUUAAAAUAGAGAAUGUGAAAUUGAGGAUGAGGAAGGUCAGAAAUGGAAAAUGUGAAGACAAGAGAAAGGUGAAAAUUGGAGCAACUUGAUAAAACAUGGGUUAGGCUCAGAAUUGGAAAGGACUCGAAUGCAGGCUUACAGAGAAGUACUGAAGAAAACCCAAAAUCCAAACACGAAUGGUACAGAAAGAUAUAGACCUGGAACCGACAGAACUCAGAACUGCUAUCGAACCGACAGAAUGCAGAACUGAUCAGUCAGCACCCAAUUGCUGAUGAUCUCAGCUAAGUAUAGGAUGUCAAGAUUUGAUCUGUGCCUGCAACAACUGUAUGCUAUCAGCCCAUCAGCCAGCUGCCAUUUCAACACUUAAGAAAAUCUUGUCUGGGUAAAUAUAUAGGAGCCCAGUAAUUAUUCCAUUGAACAUUAUUGCAAUUGAAAUCUUUCAACUGUUAAUGAGAAAAAUCACGUGGAAUUCUGCUAACAAGAUUAUUGGAAACAUAUGAAGGAAUUGAUGUCAGGAAGAAAGCCAUCUAAUUAUUCACCCAAUUAUGGUACUGUUACGAGUUAAGGAUCAGUCAUUUUAACUUCAUGCCACUAACAAUGUCACUGGUAAAGUCUAUGCCUUAUCAGAAGGCCUUCAAUUUUAAUUUGUAAUUUAUGGUGAAAGGAAAUCUGCAGAAAAUACAAUAUUAGAAUUGGCUAAUCAUUGAAUUAGCAGGAUAAUACUGGACUAUAGUUUGGGAAUAAAGCCUCUAACAACUGUAUU